AGUAGCCGCGGUAAUACGUAGGGUGCGAGCGUUAAUCGGAAUUACUGGGCGUAAAGCGUGCGCAGGCGGUUGUGUAAGACAGGUGUGAAAUCCCCGGGCUUAACCUGGGAACUGCGCUUGUGACUGCACAGCUAGAGUAUGGCAGAGGGGGGUGGAAUUCCACGUGUAGCAGUGAAAUGCGUAGAGAUGUGGAGGAACACCGAUGGCGAAGGCAGCCCCCUGGGCCAAUACUGACGCUCAUGCACGAAAGCGUGGGGAGCAAACAGGAUUAGAUACCCGAGUAGUCCCUGUCUCUUAUACA
rnacentral:rRNA from 1 species